GCCUGUUCCACGAUCUCGAAAGAAAAUUUGUGCGAACGAAGGCUACUCACUCACUUUCGCAUAAGAAUGCGUUCCACUAACUUUCGUUCUUUCUUUCGCAUAACCUUACGUGAUUCAGUGUUGCAAAAUAUUUUUUGGCAAAAUUAAUCGCGAAAUAAGGCAAAAAAAAGCGCCAAAUGUCUAAUAUAAACGCGAAAAAGCAGCAUUGGCUCUGUCUCAACUGACAGUUCAGUUGUAAACAAACAAAUUGUAAAUAAACAAACAAAAUAAAAUUUCUAGUGAUUGUGUUCAGAUUAUUUGUGUUCUUAAAAAAGAAAAAAAAAAUGAAUAUUUCUGUAGCCCUAUUUUUUAUGGAUGAUGAGGAGGAGGUUCAAAUUGUGCCACGGAGGCAUUUAAGAGAUGCUUCGAAUUUAUUUAAAGUACCUAACAACCAGUUUGUGUCUUCCAGUGGUCUUCAUGGGAUUGCCUGCUGCUUCCAAAAAUUGGCACUCCUCUGGCGAACUUAGGAUUCUCCCCCAUAUACUCAACUAGUGCCCGCAGCUGUGUAGUUUUUUCGUGCUGGAAUUGAGAAAAUAAAAAAAUAUAUAUUUGUUGUUCACAGAUUAACAGCCUGUUCCACGAUAUCGAAAGAACACGUUCGCACAACUUUUACACGACAAACAGCUGAUUUCCGUUCCACUAAAAUCCAUCAGAACGAAAAUUUGCACGAAAAUCAAUGCGAACGAAAACGUAAGCGUUUCAGUGUAAUUUUGCGUUCCACUAUCUUUUUUCUUUCGUACGCAUGCGAACACAAAUGUCAAAAUCAGUCACUUGUGUGUUUGCUGUCGUACGAUAACAAUUAAGGAAAAUCUGUUUUAAAACAUAAACAUUGCUUAAUUGAAAAUGGAAACAAAAAUCACGAAAAAAUCAUCAACUACACAGCUGCGGGCACUAGUUGAGUAUAUGGAGGAGAAUCCCGAGUUUGCCAGAGGAGUGCCAAUUUUUGGAAGCAGCAGGCAAUCCCUGGAGGACCACUGGAAGAAGUUAGUUUUUAAAUUAAAUACCAUGGGUCCUCCUUCCCGCACAAUUGCAGAAUGG